AACUUAGCUCAACGGUAGAGCAAUCGGCUGUUAACCGAUCGGUUGUAGGUUCGAAUCCUAUAGUUA
rnacentral:tRNA from 1 species